GGCUAGGUAGCUCAGUUGGUUAGAGCACACGACUCAUAAUCGUGGGGUCGGGGGUUCAAAUCCCCCCCUCGCCACCA
rnacentral:tRNA from 6 species